UCAAGACAUUUCAUUUUCCAAUAAAUUUUGCUUUCAGAGCAUCCACUGCUGCCGCUCAGGUGAGCUUCAUUUGAAGCUGAAUGUCCAAUGAUAUAUGAUGCAACAUACUCUCUUGUCACAUAUGUUUGUUGAUGUAUGUAUUUUCAGACAUGUCACUUGUAGGUUUUAAUAAUGGACAAAAGUAACUUGGAGGUAGCAAUUGGCUCGUAUAAACGCUACAAGGUAAUACAUCUCUUAUCUUAGGCUUUCAAGUUACUAUUAAAGUUCCAUGUGGAAGAAAUAAGACCUUAAAUCCGACCAUUGCUUUAUUAAAAUAAUGGUAAAUGUAUUUGCAGAAAGAUGCAUUGGCUUUGAAGGAGCUUUUGGCAUCAAUGCUUAUAGAUUUUACAUCCCAUGGACUAGGAUUUUGCCAGGUAAAAUUUUCUUGAUCAAACUCCCAAUCAAGAGAGAGAGAAAAAUUAUUUAUUAUUAAAAUAUUUGAAAAUAUUUUUAUAUUAUUCAAUAUCUCCCAAUCAAGUUUUUUCUACUGUGUUGCAUAAACUUAAAGGCCUAACUCUUAGAUUACUAGCUAAUCAAAACUUCUUCUUCUUUUUCCACUUCCUUUGAUCUUCGGUCAUUGAGCCUUUGAGCAGCCAUCAUUGCUUAUAAAAUUUCUAGGUUCAGCGUCUUAAAAAAAUUCUCAAAAUUAAUCUAAUAAGUAAUGAUGAUUUUGGGAAAUUUUUAGGUUUGAAUUUAGCUCACACUUGGCCAAUGGAACCUUUUUUAAUUUAAAUAGGAUUGAUAAUUUGGGAAGUUGUAAGCCUAAGGACUUGGUUAAUUGGCUGGGAACAUAUGGCUCCCAUGUUGAUAGAUGUAGUUUUCACACGUCAAUGGGAUAAGAUUGAAGCAAAUUUGGAUCCACCAACAUUGGAUGUUGAGGAGCUGUAAGACCACUUUUUUAUCACGUGACAAGGAUUGUGAAACUAUAUCUAAAUAUUACCUCUUUUGUAGGUUCGGUUGUUACAUUCUUACAGUAUCAAAAUGCACUUUCAAAGGACUUACAGGUUAUUAUCUCAAGCUUAACAUUAUAUCAUUAGUUCAUACAUAGAACUUAAAGAGACUACCGUAAUGGCUCUUUGCAAAUGAAAUAAAAUAGACAUUUUGCAUGUGUCAGCAUUUUUGUCAUGAUUUUAAGGUCAGUAAUUGGUAACUUUUUGUACCGAAUGUUGCUUAUUCUUCUUGAUUUUAUGGUUAUACAUAACCCUAUGAGCAUUUGAUUAACUAAGUACAUACAUAGAAGUUGCUUAUGAAAGUUAGGAAAAUAGUUCUUGGCAUUAUUGGUAAUGGUAUUUGCAUAAAUUUUUCAUAGCUUGUAGAGUAUCGAACAUCUGUGCAAUUCCAAUAUGAUAAAAAUACAUGUCAGACUCAUAUUUUCUUUAAAUGUAUGAGUAGGAUUCUUUCAUUCUGCUAAAAGCAUGGGCAAGGCUCAUGCUUUUUACAAAAAGUAUGUUGAAUCUCAACCUUGCACAAACUAAUGCCUAAGCCAACCUUCAGUUAGCUUUUGCACUUGUGUUUUGGUUUUGGUUGAAGCAAUUUGUCCUUAGAAGUUUGAAGAAGUUUGAGAUUGUAGGAAGUCAUGCUUCUUCUUGUCUUGGCUAUGGAAGUCUUUUCUUAGCCUAGCAAUUGAGGGACAUAAACAGAAGUGGGGAUGAAAUGUUCCUGUUAAUAUUUACUUGGCUAGAACUUUGUCUGAUUAUGCAAGAAUUAUCAGAUCUUAAGCAUCUUGUUUUAAAUGCUCUUACAUGUUUUAUUUACAGCAAAUUAGUUGUCAUUUUUCAUAGUCAAUUAUUCAUGGAAUGAAAAAAAGAGAAAUGAUUAUAUGAAAAUGUACCCACCAAAUUUAUUUUACUUUUGUUGCUGUGAUUUUCAUCCUUCUUUUUCUUAAAUAAACAUUGUCCAUCAGAAUGAAGCAAUCUCAUAUUUUAACUUGCAGGGAAUCAAAUAUUCCUAACCACAUGCCAACAAACUAUUUUGGGAUUCUACUUAAAUACUUUGUGUAAGGAAAUUUGGAACAAAUGUGUAGACAUUAUUCAAACAAUUGUAAUUUUACUUAAUAAUUGUUUUGAUGAUCAAUAUUUGUUGUAAAUUUUGUAAAAUUUGCAUGGUUCAUUCUUUGUAGCUUG
rnacentral:lncRNA from 1 species